rnacentral:lncRNA from 1 species
GCGCACCCCCAUCCCUUGAUUGGAUGGCCGAUUCUCGUUCCAACAACUCCUGAUGCGAAACGGCGGAGACCCGCCUCUUCCUUCAGGACAUGCAAUGUGCCAUGAUAUCUGGUAUCUGUUUCGUGUGUUCGUAAGUGCAUCAGGUCUUAGGAAGGAAACCGGGGAAUGUCUUUCUGCUGAUGCAUCACCUUGCCGAUCCUGCUGACGCAUCACUCAUUAUUAUGCCGGAGAAACGCGCUAUUCCGGUACAAUUUCUUCGGAUAAUGACUACUAAAACGCAAUUACCAUUUAAUUUGGUAUGAUGAGGCGUAGGAUUUAUCAAGAUUUGCUGUGACAAGAUGACGGCGGUUGUCAGACUGAAGGUUUUCUGAGAGUAACGAUAUAGAAAAUCGAGGUGUCCUGUGAACUCAGAAGAGUUGGUUGUUCGCGUCGGCACGCAAUGUAAUGCCGGUAAAGAAGGUCGCUCUAGUAUUUUUCGGGUUUC